rnacentral:rRNA from 1 species
UACGAACUGUGCGAACGUUAUUCGGAAUCACUGGGCUUACAGGGUGCGUAGGCGGCUUAGCAAGUCAGGUGUGAAAGCCCCCGGCUCAACCGGGGAACUGCGCUUGAAACUGCUGAGCUCGAGUCAGCUAGAGGUACACGGAACUUCCAGUGGAGCGGUGAAAUGUGUUGAUAUUGGAAGGAACACCGGAGGCGAAAGCGGUGUACUGGGGCUGGUCUGACGCUGAGGCACGAAAGCCAGGGGGGCGAACGGG